UUAACUCUGAAUUGGUAUAGCAGUGCUAGUCCUCACGAUCCACAAAGCCUACAAGAAAUCUAUAAUCUUAAUAGGUCUCCUGAAUCUAAUCUUAAGUCAUAGUGAAGUGCUUAAUAUUCUAUGAUUCAUUUAGCCGGUUUUCAAAAUUUAAUGAAUAAAUAAUUGAAAAUAUUUCUCUUGAGUUAAGAACACCAACAAUAUUCUUACUCAUCUUUCUUUAAUAAUUGAAAUUAUAAUAAAACCAAUUAAAUCAUAAAUAUUCUUAUUGCAAAAUAUAAUGCAAAUCAUGUCAUGCUUUACAUAUAAUAAGUAAUUACUUAAAAUAUGCACAUAAUAAUAAUAUAAUAUUAUUAUGAAAAUUAUCCUUUAAAUAAAUUAAUCAAACUAAUAAUAGUUCAAUUAAUUAAAAAUAAGAAAGCCCAAUUUAAUUAAUUGAAGGCAAAUUAAAAUCCUUAAAUAAAAUAAGGCCCAACAAAUUUAUUAAUUAAUAGCCCAACUGAAACAAAAAUAAAUAAAAUCUCGGCCCAAAUACUCAUAAAAAUCGGCCCAUGACUCGAGCCCACUCUAAUUAAAAUCGGCCCACAACUCGAGCCCACUCUAAUUAAAAUCGGCCCACUACCAAGCCCAUCACUCAAACCCAACCCCAAAGCCCAACCCUCACCAAGCCCUACCACCCCCACCCUCUUCUUCUCCCCCCAUAAAUCGCACAACACUCACACACACUUAGCAGCUGCGCAGCAGCACUCUUCUCUCCCUCUCUCGGCUCCCUCAAAUUUCCGCCGCCACGGCUCCUCCUCCGGCGACUGGCCGCCGCCCGCCGAAUCACCACAUCAUCUUCCUCUCUCCUUUACUUUGGUUCCACCAGACCCCCUUCUCCCUCAUCCUCACUUCACGCCAAACCCCCUUCUCCCUCAUCCUCACUCAUCAAACUGACUCGCCACCGUGGAGACUCGCCGGAGACGCAGCAGCGACGAGCCACCGCUACCAGCUUUCUCUCUGACAGUAGCCGAGCACAGCGGCACCUCCUUCCUCUCGAAUCCGGCGACCACAGGACAUCCAUGGCCGCCGCCUGAACUCCCUCCGCUGAACUCCGGCUGCCACGACCAGUAGCUGGUCGCCGCCCAUUCUCCUCUCCUCUGGUCAGACAACAACAGCCCCACGGUAACUGCUGCUGCUCUCGACCACCUCCAUCUAUCCUUGACAACGGCGAAGCGCCGCUGCCCCCUUCAAGUCCUCCGGCAGUCGCAGCGAGCGAGCUGCGAUACAUCUCUCUCCGCCCUUGGCCGAGCAGCAACGGCGAGUCACCGUCGUGCCCAGCCUCUCUCCAAAAUCUCGACUCACUCCCGACUCUCUUUCUCUAUGUGAGAACAGAGUACCACAGACAACCCUCAAUUUCCGGCAACCGCAACGAAGUCACGGCCGUGGCCCUUCCCGACUCGACACAGCAAGCAAAACUAAAGCUUAAUACUUUUCUUUCUUUCGUUUAUUAACUAGACUUGAAAACUAUUUAGUACUUGCUUAUGCACAUACAUGAAUGUAUAUAUAUAUAUAUAAAUAUAUGCAUAUAUCUGUGAGAUGAUGAAUAUGGAUUUGUUUCUCUGCUUUAGGCUCAAUUAGCACAGGAAGUAAACUAAUUGAGUUAGAAUUAUAACCUUUUGAUGAGGUUUCGGCUGGUGUUUGUUGUUGUAUUUGUUGUUGUUUACUAAGCUUCUGUGAAUGGAGUUCUGUGAAUGGAGUUGUACAAGAAUUUCAGAUGUUGCUUUAUUCAAAAAUUUGCAAGAGAGACAAGGAAAAAAAAAAAAUGAAAGAAUUUCAAAGUUCCAAACUUACAUGGGCAGUGGCGUUUUUUUUUUAGAGAGAGAGAGCUUGGAAGUUGCUGAAGGUUGUAAGAAUUAAAUUAUGAAAUUAUGAUUGCAGUUCUUACCUCUGCACUUGUUCCUUGGUAUGUAGGAGAAAUGGUGAGUGGAAGGGAAUGAGUAUUAUGGCUAAAGUUUAUUUUGGUGGGGGGCAAAGUAUGGUGUGAAGUGUGAGUGGGGAGAGUGGAAAGUGUGAGUGGGUAGUGAUGUUAACGUUGGUGGUGGAAGUAAUGAAUUGGUGAGUAGUGUAGCACCAUUGAUGAGUAGUGGAUUGAGGAUGAGAUAUGGGAGGAUUUUAUUAGUCUGCAUAAAUACAUGUAUGCUAAAAAUAAUCAUGAUAUAGGGUGGCUAUUAGGAACAUAAAUAAUAUAUCGGGACUGUAAUAAUACUUCAGGGUUCGAAAAAAAUAGCUCGUGAAAGAUUGCUAA
rnacentral:lncRNA from 1 species